GGGGUUGACAUGGAUUUGACAGCAUUUGAUUGUGAUAUGUAAGCAUGCAGAGCCGGUGGGACAACAGCUCUAUAAUCUGGGGUUUCGAACUAUAACUGGCGAAAAUUCUUACGCUCUCGCUGCCUAACCGAAGUUUAGUAAGUCGGCUUUAUCUCGACCUAAGAGGUUGAGACGAGACAUCUCCCAAAAGCCCAAUCCAUGAGGCGUUUGACACGGAGGUGCUGCAAAUUCAGGGAUAGUCGUAGGUAUGCUCCUUGCUUGCGAUGAAAUUCAAAGAGAUAAGGUCGUGUUCGGGUGUCUGUUCCCUCGCACGUCACGAAAACUAAUAACAGAAUAAGCAUGUAGAAAGCAUAUUGCUGCGGUGUUUGGACCGGGGUUCGACUCCCCGCAGCUCCACGA
rnacentral:tmRNA from 1 species